rnacentral:rRNA from 1 species
AGCUUGCUCCCUGAUGUUAGCGGCGGACGGGUGAGUAACACGUGGGUAACCUGCCUGUAAGACUGGGAUAACUCCGGGAAACCGGGGCUAAUACCGGAUGGUUGUUUGAACCGCAUGGUUCAAACAUAAAAGGUGGCUUCGGCUACCACUUACAGAUGGACCCGCGGCGCAUUAGCUAGUUGGUGAGGUAACGGCUCACCAAGGCAACGAUGCGUAGCCGACCUGAGAGGGUGAUCGGCCACACUGGGACUGAGACACGGCCCAGACUCCUACGGGAGGCAGCAGUAGGGAAUCUUCCGCAAUGGACGAAAGUCUGACGGAGCAACGCCGCGUGAGUGAUGAAGGUUUUCGGAUCGUAAAGCUCUGUUGUUAGGGAAGAACAAGUACCGUUCGAAUAGGGCGGUACCUUGACGGUACCUAACCAGAAAGCCACGGCUAACUACGUGCCAGCAGCCGCGGUAAUACGUAGGUGGCAAGCGUUGUCCGGAAUUAUUGGGCGUAAAGGGCUCGCAGGCGGUUUCUUAAGUCUGAUGUGAAAGCCCCCGGCUCAACCGGGGAGGGUCAUUGGAAACUGGGGAACUUGAGUGCAGAAGAGGAGAGUGGAAUUCCACGUGUAGCGG